GAUUUCUGGCUUGUCACAUUUUGCCGGCCACGGUUUCGUGUGUUAGUGCUUGAUGUUCUGGCCAUCCUUUCAAUCGCUGCUGGCUAUUCUUCAUUGAUUGGUCAGUGGUAUUGAAUCUUUUACUUUGAAAAAAUUAGAGUGUUUCAGGCAGGCUUUAUGCUAUGAAUACAUUAGCAUGGAAUAAUAAUUUAGGACUUCGGUUCUAUUUUGUUGGUUUCUAGGACUGAAGUAAUGAUUGAUAGGGACAGUUGGGGGUGCUAGUAUUCAGCGGCCAGAGGUGAAAUUCUCGGAUUCGCUGAAGACUAACUUAUGCGAAAGCAUU
rnacentral:rRNA from 1 species